rnacentral:rRNA from 1 species
CCUGACUGCUAUCGGAUUGGUACUAAGCCAUGUGAGUCAUUGUAGCAAUACAAGGCAGACGGCUCAGUAACACGUAGUCAAUCUACCCUAUGGACGGGGAUAACCUCGGGAAACUGAGGAUAAAACCCGAUAGAUCAUAAUGCCUGGAAUGGUUUAUGGUCCAAAUGAUUCGUCGCCGUAGGAUGGGACUGCGGCCUAUCAGCUUGUUGGUGAGGUAAUGGCCCACCAAGGCUAUUACAGGUACGGGCUCUGAGAGGAGAAGCCCGGAGAUGGGUACUGAGACACGGACCCAGGCCCUAUGGGGCGCAGUAGGCGAGAAACCUUUGCAAUGUGCGCAAGCACGACAAGGUUAAUCCGAGUGUUUCCUGCUAAAGGAAUCUUUUGUUAGUUGUAAAACCUCUGAUGAAUAAGGGGUGGCAAGUUCUGGUGUCAGCCGCCGCGGUAAAACCAGCACCUCAAGUGGUCAGGAGGAUUAUUGGGCCUAAAGCAUCCGUAGCCUGUUCUAUAAGUUUCCGGUUAAAUCCAUUAGCUCAACUAAUGGGCUGCCGAAAAUACUGUGGAACUAGGGAGUGGGAGAGGUAGACGGUACUCGGUAGGAAGGGGUAAAAUCCUUUGAUCUAUUGAUGACCACCUGUGGCGAAGGCGGUCUACCAGAACACGUUCGACGGUGAGGGAUGAAAGCUGGGGGAGCAAACCGGAUUAGAUACCCGGGUAGUCCCAGCUGUAAACGAUGCAGACUCGGUGAUGCGCUGGCUUGUGGCCAGUGCAGUGCGGCAGGGAAGCCGUUAAGUUUGCCGCCUGGGAAGUACGUACGCAAGUAUGAAACUUAAAGGAAUUGGCGGGGGAGCACCACAAGGGGUGAAGCCUGCGGUUC